rnacentral:lncRNA from 1 species
CUCACCGGACCCAAUGGGGAGCUCUGGAUGGCAGAUGGGCAUAUGGAUGUACCAUGAGUUACUGAAUCACCUUCUAUUAAUGGAUGUUUGGGUUCCCUUUCCAUGCCAUUACGAACAUUGCUGUCGCAAACACCAUCAUUAUGUGCAUCUUUGCAUAAGGUGCUCGUCCAGGCGGCUGCAAAAGAAAGAAGAGUGAGCCGCACCAGAAGGAGGAUGAGCAAGGACGGCCAGGGAAGGAGCACCUGAAGCUGCAAGCCCCUCACUCUCAAGCACCCCCACCCUCAGGAGAACACACGACGACAUGCAUAAGAAUGGUCGCUCAGGCAUUGUUUGUCACUGCCAAACCAAACCUCACUCCUGCAAUGAAACAGACAGCAGUGGGAGGUGAACGACUUAGAACCUCACAUAUUAACACGAAAAA